rnacentral:rRNA from 1 species
GACGAACGCUGGCGGCGUGCUUAACACAUGCAAGUCGAACGAUGAAGCUAGAGCUUGCUCUGGUGAAUUAGUGGCGAACGGGUGAGUAACACGUGCGUAACCUGCCCCGAACUCUGGGAUAACUGCUGGAAACGGUAGCUAAUACUGGAUACGACCUACGAAGGCAUCUUCUGUAGGUGGAAAGAAUUUCGGUUCGGGAUGGACUCGCGGCCUAUCAGCUUGUUGGUGUGGUAAGGGCUCACCAAGGCGACGACGGGUAGCCGGCCUGAGAGGGUGACCGGCCACACUUGGACUGAGAAACGGCCCAGACUCCUACGGGGGGCAGCAGUGGGGAAUAUUGCACAGUGGGCGCAAGCCUGAUGCAGCAACGCCGCGUGAGGGAUGACGGCCUUCGGGUUGUAAACCUCUUUUAGUAGGGAAGAAGCGAAAGUGACGGUACCUGCAGAAAAAGCACCGGCUAACUACGUGCCAGCCGCCGCCGUAA